rnacentral:rRNA from 1 species
UACGGAGGGUGCAAGCGUUAUCCGGAUUCACUGGGCUUAAAGGGUGCGUAGGCGGCGCGGUAAGUCGGGUGUGAAAUCUCGGAGCUUAACUCCGAAACUGCAUUCGAUACUGCCGUGCUUGAGGACUGGAGAGGAGACUGGAAUUUACGGUGUAGCGGUGAAAUGCGUAGAUAUCUGGAGGAACACCAGUGGCGAAAGCGCGUGACUGGGCCACAACUGACGCUGAGGAACGAAAGCCAGGGGAGCGAAAGGG